UGCCGGAUCAAGUGGCGGUAUGACGUGAACUAUGUCAGGUGAGAAAUCAAGCAGCAUUAAGCGUAUGUUAUCGGGUAUUUGUUUUCCGUUGGCG
rnacentral:SRP_RNA from 1 species